GAAGGAAGAAGGGCAUCGACGUCGUUGUCUCCGGUUUGCGAUCGGAGCCCAAUCGCCGCCGUUACUUUUUCAGAUUUGCCAUCAUUAGUGCAGACAAAGCUCUCUAGUAAUGGUUCAAUUAGGGUUCGGAAGGGAGCCCUUGUUGCUGAUUCAUCGGUUCAUUGGUACUGAGUAGGAGUCACCUCACUUAGGCUUUCCUGACGCUGCCUCAUCUUUCUUUGAAUAAAGCUUCUGGUACACUGCUGAAAAAACUCUAUGAGGUUACUGAUUCAUUAGCUAGUCAGCAUAAAUACAUUUUACCUUUACAUGAUACUUAACAUAGGCAAUAAAAGUCAGCAAAUUUCUGACAGUAUUUUCUCCUUUUGCACCGACUUUGAUUUGUUGUGAGAAAAUUUCUGUAGAGUUAACAUGAAAAAACGUUUUAUUCCAGCCGGACUGUAGGCAUUAUCUUUUAACUAUGUUCAUAGAUUUAAGUUGGUGGUGCACAAUAAAAUCAUUUAAGCCCAUAAUUUUCAUAAGAAAAAUAGCAUUUAGAAAGUUCGUAUUCAUUAUGAAUAUAGUUGUUGCUAAGUUUUCUUAAGAAGGGGAGGCCAAAUGAGGUGUAAACAUACCAAAGGAGACGAAUCCUCCAUUUGUUGUUAGAUUUUGGAAAGAUUCUCGUCUCAACUCAGGAGGAGGGAUUGGCGACCAGGUACAUCGUGGCGCUUUGGAGAAUUCUGCUGAGUUGCUAACAUCUACAAGCUCCUGCAGAUCCCACUGCCCACGUCCUUCAGUUUGAGGCUACACAACAUAUCUUUCAGUUGCAAACUCAGUAUGACUGAUUGUAUUGAGGAAAUCUCAGUGAUAGUCAUCAUACGAGCUUCUGAAAGAGAUUGGAGACAAUCUGAAGCAGUUUCAAGAUAUAUUGGUGGCAUCCAUAUCGACAGGUUAACAAUUUGAGGACUUGAUUCUGAUGCCUGCCCAUAGGUACUGAAUUUAUCAAAAAGAACCUGAAUGGUGCAACUUACUGCCAAAGGACUGAGAAAGGCACCCUUCAACUAUGCCACCAAGAGUUAACUGUUGUGGUUGGUGAAAUAAUGAAGCCAGUUCUAGGCACAAUGUAUGCUGCAGAUGUGGAUUAGCAAGGAGGUUUGUGCAUUGUAACUAUGCACCUGUUUCCUGUUGAAUUGAUGGUUGAUUGAUAGAUUACUUGAGAACUUCCAAGGAAAAAAUAGGAACUUGAGAGAACAGUUGUGAUGGUCAUCAGUCCUUUGUUAUAGCAACUUUAGGAGUAUUUGGGAGAGUUUUUACUUAUUUAAAA